ensembl:lncRNA
GUGAGGUUGUGUGCAAUUUAUUCCUCAUUUUGAGCAUGGUAAAAAUUGUGCUUUUAAUCGUCCUGUUCGAUUACAGAUUUCUUUUUGUAAUACAUUCCGUCAGGGAGUUGUCGUCUCUUGCAUUUAGCGUUUCUUGUAGUUUGACCGUAGAUGCAUUGUCUUUGCUAUCAAAUGCUUUGCAAGACCAAAGACCAUAACUUGUUUUGAACGCAAAGUAGCUACUGUUCCUUCAUAUACCACAAGUAUACCAUAGAGACGGAACUUGGUUUUUUGGCAAAGCAACUCUGUGUGUGGAAUGGAAAAGGGGUGAGGUUGACAUUUUAGCUUUUUUGGGCAAGUAGUAUCAUUUAUCUUGAAUGUAUCAUAGAUAAGCUGCUAUAUACUGGUUGCCACUUCCUAAUAGCUGUGAAAGUAGGUGAUUUUUAACGUAGAUCCUACUUAGCAUUCCGAUUUUGUGUAAGUCUAAUUACAAUAGCCGUGUGGUUUUGAUAUGACCUAAUGAUAGAAGUGUGUGUGUGUUCUUAUGUUAUGACGAUUAGGACAGGCACCGAAAAAACCUUUUGUAAUGCCUCUGUAUAUUUUGGCUUUUCUGUUUGCCGUGUUGUUGUGACUACUGUAUAGCAAGGUGCUUUUCUGGGCGUGAUCUGGGUUUGUUUUGAGUGGUUCUUCCUUUUUUGUUAUCGGUUUGUUUCUUGUCCAUGUUUGAAGUGUAGUUAUCGUUGGGCUCAUUGGCGAGUACACAUCGUUGUCUUGAUGUACAAUAAUUUAACUAUAUUUUAACGUCCGCCUUCUGUUAACAUUUGCCCUACCCUGUAGAUUUCACUCAAUGGCUCCACUGUUAUGUAUUACUGACACGUAGAUAUGGUAUACUUUUAGUGCCGUUCUUCUUGUCUAUGCUGUGGGAUUCGGAGUAACCUAGAUAUCUGAUGUUCCUUUAACAUGCUAUUAAGCACUUGUUAGCAUGUCAAUAAGCUAACCUGGUGUGGGUUUAUUCAUUCAUGCUUUAGUGUUUUCCGUUUCUGAAGUUGCAGUGUUCAAAAGAAACUAUAAGCCUCCUUCUCUCAUGAAUCCAUGGGGAAUGAAAAUGUUGUGCAGAUCCUUGUGUUGUAACCAAGCCUAUGUGGUGUAGUUACUGAGCACCUGUUGAUGUUGAGUGACACUGCAGUGUCACCUGUCAGUGUGUACGUGGUUUAGGAUCUCUUGUGUUCUUUGUGAAACCCCUUGACCUUCUGUCCUGGAGGUCGGCAGCACAGAGUCUGUGCCUUUUCUAAAGCACCGGGGGUGGGGCAGCAGGCCUGGGGAACAGAUUGGCACCCAGUACCUGAUCUCCGCCCAAUCCCAUCUCUUCAUCACUUAAAGGGGGAGGGCACAAUGUGCUGCCCAGGUGGAUUGUUAGGACCCACUUGUUUCCUACCCCCUAGUCACAUCAGCACAUUCAAACCUCAGUCAAUGUGAGAAGAGUUUUUCCUUUGAAACACGGCAUAGGGUUUCCCAGCAAGUGAAAUACACUUUUUCCUUGAAAUGGGAUUCCUGAUUAUAUGUUGAGAUAAUCACACCACCACCAACUCCCCCCACACCCAACUCAAACACAGACACACAUACAUACCCACUCUGAGUUUUGUUUGACUGUCAACGUGUGAAAAUGCUGAGAACCAUUUUUAGUGAGCGGACAAUAGAGAAGUCUAUAAUACAUUAUUAAUCAGGGAAUAUUUGUAUGCUGAUUAAAUCACCCAAGUCUGUUCAUUUGUAUUUGGGGAGAUUUACACAUAUACACUGUGAAUGUAUACAUGAACAAAACAUUGGGGGUUAAAGGCCAUCAAAAGAAAAACAUGGAGGAAAAACAUCCCUCACUCAUGGAAUUAGUUAUGCCUAACCUGUUUUAGUUCACUCGUAACAGGUCUAGUUAAUGCUUCUUGAAUCGCAGACCAUUGAUUUUCUUGUUGUGUCCAUUUGUCACAAACAGCAUAAUAUUGCGUUUUUUGGCCAAGGCACUUCAUUUCUCAAACUCCUUUAUCUGUUAAAAAAAAAAAAAUAAGCAUAGGUGGACAUUUGGCUGAGCAUGUGGCGCUAGAAGAAACGUAUAGAUACUACUACUUGUGCACAUACAAUAAUGUUCACUAGUAUGCAUGUGGAAUUGAAGUUAGUUGUGUCUCUAAAAUGUAAUUCGUUAAAAGAAGGCAGAAUAAUACCUGGAAGCCUUCACGCAAGCUACACCAAAACCAUGUGUAUUCUUUUUAUUCAAAUCUGAUAUUUGAGGUCAUGAAAUUCAGUCAAGCACUCAAGGAUGGGACAUAAGAAAACAGAGUUUAUUUGAUGAUUGCUCAAUCAUGUGUACACAACAGACUGAAUAGUAUUUGUACUUUAUUUGACAUUUUACCAUUUAUUAUUCAAAAUACCAAACAUUUUAGUUUACAAUUUUGUUUUCCUCCCUCUCAGUUAAGAGAUUAUUGUACAUCAAAUUCAGGGUCUUUAUAUUUGUCUCAUGUGCUACUGUAUUAUACCUAAAUCCUUAAUGCUUGGGUUGGAUUGCUUUAGAUAUAUUUUUACAUGGAUUUUCAUUUUUAUUUCAGGCAGGUAAUCCUCAAAAAAAAAAUCACACUGCUUGUUUAUAGAUAAUAUAUUUAGAUUUUACAAAGCAAAUAGUCUUUAUUUACUAGAUAUGAGCGGUUACUGUUUUAAUAUUUUGUAGAUUUUGUGGCUCCCUUAAUUCAGUUUGCUUUGUUUUUAUUACUGCUACAUUAGUUUGCCAUGUAGCCAUUGCACUGUGCAAUAUUUACAACAUGAGGACUGGGAAAUAUAUAUUUUUCCUUUAUGUAAUGUCUCUUACAGUUUGCGGUCGUUUUUUUCUCUCUAGUUCUCAGUGAUUUUUCUUCUUUUUUUUUUCAAUGUGACCAAGCCUUAUGUACUUGUCACAGAAAGCGGGUUUUUCCUGGUGACUAUUUGUGAGUGUCAAAAUUAAGAAUUUAUGGUGUAUUGUCGAAAAUCACUUUGAAUAAAAAUGUCUAUUACAGCAAAA